rnacentral:rRNA from 1 species
GUCGAGCNUUUNUNAAUUUUAUUUACGGGUAGCGGCAGACGGGUGAGUAACGCGUGGAUAAUCUACCCCUUUCUCUGGGUAUAGCCUUCCGAAAGGAGGGUAAUCCCGGAUAGUCUAACAGGGUGAAAUUCCCUAUUAGUAAAGAAUUUCGGAAAGGGAGGAAUCUGCGUCCCAUCAGCUUGUUGGUAGGGUAAUGGCNUACCAAGGCAACGACGGGUAGNUGGACUGAGAGGUCGGCCAGCCACAAGGGAACUGAGACACGGUCCCUACACCUACGGGUGGCAGCAACCGGGAAUAUUGCGCAAUGGGCGAAAGCCUGACGCAGCGACGCCGCGCGGAGGAUGACGGCCUUCGGGUUGUAAACUCCUUUUGUAAGGGAAGAUUAUGACGGUACCUUACGAAUAAGCAGUUGCUAACUACGUGCCAGAAGCCUCGGUAAUACGUAGACUGCAAGCGUUAUCCGGAUUUACUGGGCGUAAAGCGUGCGUAGGCUUGAUUUUAAGUCGACGGUGAAAUACCCGGGCUCAACCCGGGAAACGCUAUCGAUACUGGGAUCAUUGAGAGUAAGCGAGGGCAUCGGAACUUUGAAAGUAGCAGUGA